GAUGAACGCUAGCUACAGGCUUAACACAUGCAAGUCGCGGGGCAGCAUGGGGGUUGCUUGCAAUCCCCGAUGGCGACCGGCGCACGGGUGAGUAACGCGUAUCCAACCUGCCCUUCACCACGGGAUAACCCGGCGAAAGUCGGACUAAUACCGUAUGUUGUCCAUUGACGGCAUCCGAUUUGGACGAAAGGCUUGGCGGUGAGGGAUGGGGAUGCGUCCGAUUAGCCAGACGGCGCGGUAACGGCCCACCGUGGCUACGAUCGGUAGGGGUUCUGAGAGGAAGGUCCCCCACACUGGAACUGGGACACGGUCCAGACUCCUACGGGAGGCAGCAGUGAGGAAUAUUGGUCAAUGGGCGUAAGCCUGAACCAGCCAAGUAGCGUGCAGGAUGACGGCCCUAUGGGUUGUAAACUGCUUUUAUGCGGGGAUAAAGUGGCCCACGUGUGGGCUUUUGCAGGUACCGCAUGAAUAAGGACCGGCUAAUUCCGUG
rnacentral:rRNA from 1 species